AUACGGAGGAUGCGAGCGUUAUCUGGAUUUAUUAGGUUUAAAGGGUGUGUAGGCGGUAUUUUAAGUCAGUGGAGAAAUCUUUCAGUUUAACUGAGAAACUGCCAUUGAUACUGGAAUACUUGAGUAUAGUUGAGGUAGGCGGAAUAUGUAAUGUAGCGGUGAAAUGCAUAGAUAUUACAUAGAACACCGAUUGCGAAGGCAGCUUACUAAACUAUUACUGACGCUGAUGCACGAAAGCGUGGGGAGCGAACAGGAUUAGAAACCCUUGUAGUCC
rnacentral:rRNA from 1 species